CUUGUACACACCGCCCGUCACACCAUGGGAGUGGGUUUCACCAGAAGUAAUUAGCCUAACCGCAAGGGGGGCGACUACCACGGUGAGAUUCAUGACUGGGGUG
rnacentral:rRNA from 1 species